rnacentral:rRNA from 1 species
GACGAACGCUGGCGGCGUGCUUAACACAUGCAAGUCGAACGGAAAGGCCCUGCUUGCAGGGUACUCGAGUGGCGAACGGGUGAGUAACACGUGGGUGAUCUGCCCUGCACUUCGGGAUAAGCCUGGGAAACUGGGUCUAAUACCGGAUAGGAGCCAUUUUUAGUGGGAUGGUUGGAAAGUUUUUUCGGUGUAGGAUGAGUUCGCGGCCUAUCAGCUUGUUGGUGGGGUAAUGGCCUACCAAGGCGGCGACGGGUAGCCGGCCUGAGAGGGUGGACGGCCACAUUGAGACCGAGAGACGGCCCAGACUCCUAAGGGAGGCAGCAGUGGGGAAGAUUGCACAAUGGGCGCAGGCCUGAUGCAGAGACGCCGCGUGGGGGAUGACGGCCUUCGGGUUGUAAACUCCUUUCGCUAGGGACGAAGCUUUUUGUGACGGUACCUAGAUAAGAAGCACCGGCUAACUACGUG